rnacentral:rRNA from 1 species
CCUACGGGAGGCAGCAGUGGGGAAUAUUGCACAAUGGGGGAAACCCUGAUGCAGCGACGCCGCGUGAGUGAAGAAGUAAUUCGUUACGUAAAGCUCUAUCAGCAGGGAAGAAACACUGACCUUACGGUCAGCAGACGGUACCUGAGUAAGCAGCCCCGGCUAACUACGUGCCAGCAGCCGCGGUAAUACGUAGGGGGCAAGCGUUAUCCGGAUUUACUGGGUGUAAAGGGAGAGUAGACGGUGCGCCAAGUCUGGUGUGAAAUGCCGAAGCUUAACUGCGGAACUGCUUUGGAAACUGGCGAACUAGAGUGCGGGAGGGGUAAGCGGAAUUCCUAGUGUAGCGGUGAAAUGCGUAGAUAUUAGGAGGAACACCGGUGGCGAAGGCGGCUUACUGGACCGUAACUGACGUUGAGGCUCGAAAGCGUGGGGAGCAAACAGGAUUAGAUACCCGUGUAGUC